rnacentral:lncRNA from 1 species
ACUGGAUACAGGCAUCAGGAAGGUGAUGUGAAAGAUGCCGCAGGUGAAAGAGAAGAAGAACGCGGAGCACCUGAGCAGCUGUGGAGCCUCGGAUUCGUUGGAAGGCACAUUCUUGGAAGAAUAGGUGGGCUUCAACUGAAUGUCGUCCUAACAGAAUCAGGGCUCACCUUGGUGUACAUUCUCCUGUAAUGAGAUUGGGCACAUCCAGGCCAUCUUCUAUUUUACUGUCCGCAUAACACAAUCCAGGAAGUGAAAUCUCAGCAUGUUCACAGAUCCUAAGGACUCAACUAUGGAACCAUGGGGGCUGCCCAUAGAAACUCCACCUAUGCACAAGGGUGAUGUGCAUCAAGACUAAUUUUAUAGUAAUGAUAAGUCAUCACCUUUUUAUUAACACUAUGUUGCCACUUGCCCUUGGAAGCAGUCGCAGUGAAUUUGCCCAUCCCUUAGAAGCAAGAAUCAAGUUGGUAACACCAAACGAAACUCAAUGAAUUCUCCAUGGCCACAACCCAUGAUUCAAGAAAAUGCUAAAUGUCUUUGAUAAAGAGUCAAAAUGUAUCAAUUUAUUAAAUCUCAAUCCUUGCAUCCCAUCUUGUAAUACUGAAAAAUGAAAUGAGAAGUAUGCCUAAAGCAUUUGUCGCAAGGUAAAGCACUUACAGAACAGUUUGAGAGGCAAAUUGAACUGCCUGCUUUUUCAUGAAUACUUAACCGAAUGACCCAGUCGCUUAUUGCAGGUAUUAAUAUUUGACUAUUUAACUGGCAUUUUGUUUAAUUCGUAUGAAAGUUCUUAUCAAAGGAAAACAACUGAUAGUAUUUACUGCCAAUGAUAAAAAUUGAGCCUUCAAGUUUAAUUUAGUAUUUUGGAAAAGAACUAUCAAUCCACCUCAGCUUAAAUACUUCUUAAUAUUUCAGAGAUUUGAUAAGACCUGUGGUGAUAUUUAACAAAUGUGAUUUUAAAAAAAUAUUCUACAAUAAAAUAUACCAUGUUUUAAAGAUCUGUAGACCUAACUAAACCAGUAUUUUCCAAAUGAUCAAAAUCAUGCAUAGGUAAAGAUCCAUUGAAAUUUACAAGAUAGACCAAAAUAAGAACAAUAAAUGAGAAGCUUGUUGAAAUUGCUA